rnacentral:rRNA from 1 species
UACAGAGGUCCCGAGCGUUGUUCGGAUUCACUGGGCGUAAAGGGUGCGUAGGUGGCGUCGUAAGUCGGGUGUGAAAUUUCGGAGCUCAACUCCGAAACUGCAUUCGAUACUGCGGUGCUUGAGGACUGGAGAGGAGACUGGAAUUUACGGUGUAGCAGUGAAAUGCGUAGAGAUCGUAAGGAAGACCAGUGGCGAAGGCGGGUCUCUGGACAGUUCCUGACACUGAGGCACGAAGGCCAGGGGAGCAAACGGG